UACGUAGGGGGCAAGCGUUGUCCGGAUUUAUUGGGCGUAAAGAGCGUGUAGGCGGCCUGACAAGUCUGCUGUGAAAACUCGAGGCUCAACCUCGAGAUGUCGGCGGAAACUGUCUGGCUAGAGUCCGGAAGAGGAGAGUGGAAUUCCUGGUGUAGCGGUGAAAUGCGCAGAGAUCCGGAGGAACACCAGUGGCGAAGGCGACACGCUGGGCCGUACCUGACACUGAUGCGCGACAGCAUGGGGAGCAAACAGG
rnacentral:rRNA from 1 species